rnacentral:rRNA from 1 species
UACGAAGGUCCCAAGCGUUAUCCGGAUUUAUUGGGUUUAAAGGGUGCGUAGGCGGGUUAUUAAGUCAGUGGUGAAAGCCUUCAGCUUAACUGAAGAACUGCCAUUGAUACUGAUGAUCUUGAGUAUGAUUGAGGUGGGCGGAAUGUGUCAUGUAGCGGUGAAAUGCUUAGAUAUGACACAGAACACCGAUUGCGAAGGCAGCUCACUAAGUCAUAACUGACGCUGAUGCACGAAAGCGUGGGGAGCAAACAGG